rnacentral:tRNA from 1 species
UGGACAGUAGGAGAGUGGUGUCCUCCUGUGUUGUUGACCAGGGGGUCUGGGGUUCGAAUCCCUCCCCAA